AAGCUCGUAGCUGAAUUUCGGGGUUAGUAGGUUGGUCAUGCCUCUGGUAUGUACUGGUCUCACUGAUUCCUCCUUCCUGAUGAACCGUAAUGCCAUUAAUUUGGUGUUGCGGGGAAUUUGGACUGUUACUUUGAAAAAAUUAGAGUGUUUAAAGCAAGCUAACGCUUGAAUACAUUAGCAUGGAAUAAUGAAAUAGGACGUUCGAUCCUAUUUUGUUGGUUUCUAGGAUUGACGUAAUGAUUAAUAGGGAUAGUUGGGGGCAUUAGUAUUCAAUUGUCAGAGGUGAAAUUCUUGGAUUUAUUGAAGACUAACUACUGCGAAAGCAUUUGCCAAGGAUGUUUUCAUUAAUCAAGAACGAAAGUUAGGGGAUCGAAGACGAUCAGAUACCGUCGUAGUCUUAACCAUAAACUAUGCCGACUAGGGAUCGGAUGAUGUUAAUUUUUUAAUGACUCAUUCGGCACC
rnacentral:rRNA from 1 species